UACGUAGGGGGCAAGCGUUGUCCGGAAUCAUUGGGCGUAAAGCGCGUGUAGGCGGUUCGGUAAGUCGGCUGUGAAAGUCCAGGGCUCAACCCUGGGAUGCCGGUCGAUACUGCCGGACUAGAGUUCGGAAGAGGCGAGUGGAAUUCCCGGUGUAGCGGUGAGAUGCGCAGAUAUCGGGAGGAACACCAAUGGCGAAGGCAGCUCGCUGGGACGUUACUGACGCUGAGACGCGAAAGCGUGGGGAGCAAACAGG
rnacentral:rRNA from 1 species